UUCUAAAUUUUCUGAAAUCGUGGUAGGAGGAGAGAGAAACCUUAAUCGAAUGAAUACUUGUAGAGAGAGAUAGAGAAAGAAUUAACGAAGAGAGAGAAUCCACAAACUUGACGGAACCAAACCUAAAGAUGAUCGGUGACAAAGAUGGAGUUGUGUAAUCCGGCACCACUCGUCACCAUCUCAACCAUUUGAAAACAAAAGACUUUUGAUACUGGGUUGUAUACAAUAAGACGUGGAUCUAUAGCUUUGGAAUGGGCGAAUUCAUGUAAUAUUAUCGAAUUCCAAGCUGUAAACUUGACAUUUGAGUGGUGUUAUAUGAAUAAGUGGGUGUGCUAUGGACGAAGAUUUUGGACUUGUUAGUGAGGGGACUAUGUUCGAUGAAUUUGUGCCUGAUACUCCACCUGAAACAGAAUUCCCAUCUUUAGAUAGUUUGACUCCUUAUGUUCAGCCCUCCCAAUGUAGUGAAAAUGGACUUCAAUUGACAUCUCAUGUUAAAACACUAGAGACUGUGGAAACAAUUGUGACCACAAACAAGGUGAGUGUGUACUCUACAGUUGAACCACUUAGAGUUGGUAUGGUUUUUAAAAGGUGGCAAGAUAUAGAAAGUUAUUAUAAAGAGUAUGUGGAACAACACUGAUUUGGUGUCACUCGACAAUCUGGUUCAUAUACCAAGGAAAAGGAGAGGAGGGUGAUUAAUUGGCGGUGUGAGUGCUUCCCCCCCUGAUAUGAGGGCAAGGAGGGAAGCUAGGAAGAAGGAAAAAAAUAUGGAAGUUUGUGGCACCGGUGGCGUAGUUAACUUCACAUUCACACUUCUUGGAGGUCCUGUUCCCACAAACCAACUCAUUUUCUCCUAUCUCACCAUAGCUAGAAUUUAUGCAAGUGUGAAUCCUGUUGGUGAUUGGGUUUUGAGGACAUUGUACUUGAUCAUGUUCACAAAUUGGAUCUCGGCGGUGCCAAAUUGGUAAAGGAAUACCGAGUGAAAAAAUAUACUUCUUUUGUCAAGAAAAAGCUGAUGGCCUAUUAUGAAGAAGGUGUCCUAGUAAAACAAAUACAUGGUUGCAUGGCUACAGAGUUGGGUGGUGAGGAAAACUUGCCAAUUGUUAAGGAUCUUCAACAUGAGGUUUACAAGGAGUGGCAAUUGAAAAUGGAAGGCGGUGACGUGGCAACUAUGAUGGCGUAUUUUGAUCGUAUGCAAGCAGAUAAUCAAAACUUUUAUCACGCUCAUCGAUUGGAUGAAGAGGGCUGAUUGAAGGAUGUAUUUUGGGUUGAUGCUAGGAUUCGAGUGGCAUACGAGGAGUUUGGUGACGUCAUAUGCUUUGAUGCUACCUAUCUUACCAAUGAGUAUGAGCUCCCCUUUGCUAACUUUGUCGGGUUAAAUCAUCACGCCCAAUCUUUACUUUUGGGAUGUGCCUUUGUUUCACACGAAAAUUGCGACACCUUUUUUUGGAUAUUUCAGCAGUGGGUUGCCUGCAUGGGAAAUAAACCUCUUGGCACAAUCUUGACGAAUCAAGCUUCCGCCAUGAGGAGGCCGCUGUCAGUCGUAACGCCAUCAACUCGUUACCGUUGGUGUAUUUGGCAUAUCCUUAGGAAGAUUCCAGAGAAGUUGGGUAAAGUGUGAAAAUCAAGUUGUUUAAGCAGGUUGAUCAAGUGAUCGUAGCUAAAGGAGCUCAAGUGAUCAAUUAGUUUUCUAUAACAAGUUUGUAAAGUUGUAUAAAUAACUCACCUAGAUUUAUUGAGUUAUAUAGUUGGGAUUUUGUAAGCCUUAACACUUGACAGGUUGUUGAGUAUGGCGGUGAUACCUCCGAUUUAGGUGUAUGCUUCCGCAAUUUUAUUAAAGGUUGUCUAAUUUUCCUUUAUUUAUUGUUUAUUAUUAGCUAGUAAAUCGGGGGUGUUACACAUGCACCUAUGCACUUAGGUUAAACAUUAUAUGAAAUCUGCCUGUUUUGAAUUUGUACAAAACAGGACACCUGCUUUGUAGUGGCGUUGUUGCCUAUGGUUUCUGUUUUUUUUUUUUUUACUUGAAGUGUCAUAUUGUAAUUGUAGAUGUGUUUAAUUGAACUGUCAUAUUUUAUUUGUAGAUGGUGUUCCUUUUCCUAACCUUGUUUGUAGAACAGUCCUGAUUUAGGAUAAUAGUGCCCACUCAUACAAAAUGGUGCAAAUUUGUGAUAUGAUUUUGUGUUUUGAUUGGUAUGUGAUGCUUGUGCUUGGUGAUGGAAUUUAUGAAGAUUUUAAGAGCUCUUUGAAGACUCUUAUUUAUGAGAGUUUUACAGUUGAAGAAUUUGAGAGCCGUUAGCAUGCAUUCAUGGCUCAAUGGAAGCUUGGGGAUAAUGACUGGUUGUGUGACCUAUUUGAAUAAAGACAUAUGUGGGUUCCCGCAUUUAUGAAGGAUUACUUUUGGGCCAGAAUGAAAACAACCAACGUGUAGAUAGUAUAAAUAGCUUCUUUUACGGUUUUGUAAACAAACAUAAAAAAGCUACAUGAAUUCCCAAAGAAAUAUAUAAGGGUGAUGGUAAGGCGGGUUAAGUCUGAGUUAGAAUGAUGCUAAUGCAAGAUGUGGCAAGUAUGUUUGGAGGCUUGUUAGCAGUUUUAAAGUGGAGAAAUUAUUCUAGAAAAUCUACACCGAUGCAAUGUUCCAAGAACUCCAGGAGCGUGGGAGGAUGGGGUAUUGUGUUCCGAAUGAGAGGCGCGAUCUUGUAAACAACAAGACAGAAUAUGUCCUAGAGAAACGUUUGUAAAUAAUUCCUGAAGAUAAGAGCGAGGAUGUUAUAACCGACUUCUAUCGUUUAGUACGCGUGAUUUUUUUUAUCACUGGACGAAAGAUGUCUCUUGUGAAUGCCGCAAGUUUGAGACUUUUGUUGGGAUAUUGUGCAAGCAUGUUAUUCGUGUGUUCGAGUUGAACCAUAUUUUUGAUAUCCCAUCCAAGUACAUACUAGAUAGGUGGAGGAAAGAUGUUCCAUGUAAACAUACUCGUGUCAAAGUUACUUACCAUGACCCCGAAGACAUGCCUUAAGUUCAGUAUCAUCGCAAAAUGAUGAGGGGGUUCGAGGGAAUUUGUGAUGAGGCUGCAGCAUUUGAUGAUAUGGUCACGGUUGAAUUGGUACUGACCAGUUUGAAGCAGCUUCAUUUGGAUGUAAAAGAGAGCCGUACUACAUUCCUUAAAAAACAAGCAGAACUACCUGUUAUACCCAGCUCUCAAAUAGGAUCAAACACAUUGGCAACCAAGACACCUACUUCAACUGCCAAAAAUCUGUGAAGGAUCCUAUCGCAUGCAAAAAACCACGUGGUCGACUAAAAACCACCAGGUAUAAGACUUUAGCGGAGAAUGGGUAUAAGACUUAGAAAACGAACUCGAACACUGUCCAGAAAUCUGCCCAAACAACCAAAACUAGCACCCAAACUAGGCAGGGAAAAAGGAAAAGAGCAACACGUCCACUUUCUGCCUUGUAUGAGGACUGUGUUGAUCCUGACCUAAUGGAGCAUGUAACAGAUACGGAGGACUCACACUCCUAUGAGUCUUAAUCCUUGUUCAGGUGCAAAGAAUUUUGACAUUCAAUUGUCCUAAUUUAUGUAACAACUACUUAUCCCUGUUGGUACUUUGAAGACUCUGUUUCUUUCUUUAACAGUGGUUAAUUGUGUUGGUGUGUAACUGUCUUAUUUAUGGGGUUUCAUUUUGAUCAACCCUGUUACAACGAUGUAGCUAAACUGGUUAUUUUUGCAAUUACAAUACCAACACCAU